rnacentral:rRNA from 1 species
CAAUAGCGUAUAUUAAAGUUGUUGCGGUAAAAAAGCUCGUAGUUGGAUUUCUGUUGAGAGCGACCGGUCCAUACCAUGUAUGCGUAUCUGGCUUGCUCUCGGCAUCCUCUCGAUAGACGUUACUGCGCUUGAUUGCGUGGUGCGGAUCUCGGGACUUUUACUUUGAGGAAAUUAGAGUGUUCACGGCAGGCUUUCGCCAGAAUACAUUAGCAUGGAAUAAUACUAUAGGAUCUUGGUUCUAUUUUGUUGGUUUCUAGAAUUGAGAUAAUGAUUAAUAGGGACAAUUGGGGGCAUUCGUAUCAACACGUAAGAGGUGGAAUUCUUGGAUUGUGUUGCGACGAACUACUGCGAAAGCAUUUGCCAAGGAUGUUUUCAUUGA